GCUCCGGUAGUAUAGCCCGGCCAAACAAAGCCGAAAGUAUGACGGGCUCUCGACCCGUCGACGCGGGUUCAAAAGCGGGGGACCCCGCUGAAAAUCCCGCCCGGAGCACCA
rnacentral:tRNA from 1 species